GUAACACGUGAGUAACCUGCCCUUAACUCUGGGAUAAGCCUGGGAAACUGGGUCUAAUACCGGAUAUGACUCCUCAUCGCAUGGUGGGGGGUGGAAAGCUUUAUUGUGGUUUUGGAUGGACUCGCGGCCUAUCAGCUUGUUGGUGAGGUAAUGGCUCACCAAGGCGACGACGGGUAGCCGGCCUGAGAGGGUGACCGGCCACACUGGGACUGAGACACGGCCCAGACUCCUACGGGAGGCAGCAGUGGGGAAUAUUGCACAAUGGGCGAAAGCCUGAUGCAGCGACGCCGCGUGAGGGAUGACGGCCUUCGGGUUGUAAACCUCUUUCAGUAGGGAAGAAGCGAAAGUGACGGUACCUGCAGAAGAAGCGCCGGCUAACUACGUGCCAGCAGCCGCGGUAAUACGUAGGGCGCAAGCGUUAUCCGGAAUUAUUGGGCGUAAAGAGCUCGUAGGCGGUUUGUCGCGUCUGCCGUGAAAGUCCGGGGCUCAACUCCGGAUCUGCGGUGGGUACGGGCAGACUAGAGUGAUGUAGGGGAGACUGGAAUUCCUGGUGUAGCGGUGAAAUGCGCAGAUAUCAGGAGGAACACCGAUGGCGAAGGCAGGUCUCUGGGCAUUAACUGACGCUGAGGAGCGAAAGCAUGGGGAGCGAACAGGAUUAGAUACCCUGGUAGUCCAUGCCGUAAACGUUGGGCACUAGGUGUGGGGGACAUUCCACGUUUUCCGCGCCGUAGCUAACGCAUUAAGUGCCCCGCCUGGGGAGUACGGCCGCAAGGCUAAAACUCAAAGGAAUUGACGGGGGCCCGCACAAGCGGCGGAGCAUGCGGAUUAAUUCGAUGCAACGCGAAGAACCUUACCAAGGCUUGACAUGAACCGGAAAUACCUGGAAACAGGUGCCCCGCUUGCGGUCGGUUUACAGGUGGUGCAUGGUUGUCGUCAGCUCGUGUCGUGAGAUGUUGGGUUAAGUCCCGCAACGAGCGCAACCCUCGUUCUAUGUUGCCAGCGCGUUAUGGCGGGGACUCAUAGGAGACUGCCGGGGUCAACUCGGAGGAAGGUGGGGACGACGUCAAAUCAUCAUGCCCCUUAUGUCUUGGGCUUCACGCAUGCUACAAUGGCCGGUACAAAGGGUUGCGAUACUGUGAGGUGGAGCUAAUCCCAAAAAGCCGGUCUCAGUUCGGAUUGGGGUCUGCAACUCGACCCCAUGAAGUCGGAGUCGCUAGUAAUCGCAGAUCAGCAACGCUGCGGUGAAUACGUUCCCGGGCCUUGUACACACCG
rnacentral:rRNA from 1 species